ensembl:rRNA 5S_rRNA 5S ribosomal RNA
UGCCACAGCCUUAUCAUCCUGCAGCCCAAGACCAGUUACCCACUGAAGUUAAGCAUGGCUGAGCCUGUCAGUACUUGGAUGGGUGUCCACAUAGGAAAGAUAGGUUGCUGUUGGAA